GGAAAUGCUAACCUUGUGAGUCUACACACC
rnacentral:piRNA from 1 species